UUGAUCAUGGCUCAGGACGAACGCUGGCGGCAUGCCUAAUACAUGCAAGUCGAACGAUGACGUCACUGCUUGCAGUGACUGAUUAGUGGCGAACGGGUGAGUAACACGUGAGGAACUUGCCCAUGAGCGGGGGACAACAUUCGGAAACGGAUGCUAAUACCCCAUAGGUGGAUUGGUCGCAUGACGAAUUCAUUAAAGGUGGCUUUGCUACCACUCAUGGAUAGCCUCGCGGCGUAUUAGCUAGUUGGUAAGGUGAUGGCUUACCAAGGCAGUGAUACGUAGCCGACUUGAGAGGGUGAUCGGCCACACUGGGACUGAGACACGGCCCAGACUCCUACGGGAGGCAGCAGUAGGGAAUCUUCCACAAUGGGUGCAAACCAGAUGGAGCAAUGCCGCGUGAGUGAAGAAGGUCUUCGGAUCGUAAAGCUCUGUUGUUAGAGAAGAACUCGUGCUAGGUAACUACUAGCGCCUUGACGGUAUCUAACCAGAAAGUCACGGCUAACUACGUGCCAGCAGCCGCGGUAAUACGUAGGUGACAAGCGUUGUCCCGGAUUUAUUGUGCGUAAAGGGAGCGCAGGCGGUCUGUUUAUCUAAUGUGAAAGCCACGGCUUAACCGUGGAACGGCAUUGGAAACUGACAGACUU
rnacentral:rRNA from 1 species